rnacentral:rRNA from 1 species
CGGGUGAGUAACGCGUGAGGAACCUGCCUCAAAGAGGGGGACAACAGUUGGAAACGACUGCUAAUACCGCAUAAGCCCACGGCUCGGCAUCGAGCAGAGGGAAAAGGAGUGAUCCGCUUUGAGAUGGCCUCGCGUCCGAUUAGCUAGUUGGUGAGGUAACGGCCCACCAAGGCGACGAUUGGUAGCCGGACUGAGAGGUUGAACGGCCACAUUGGGACUGAGACACGGCCCAG